rnacentral:lncRNA from 1 species
GAGGGCAAAAAUUGAAAAAGAAAAUCAAAACAGAGACGUAAUAGCUAAUCUUUGUUUUUGGAAGGGAUUAGAAAUCGGCGCUGAAGCAGAGAAAAUGCCGAAUCCGUCCGCAACGUAAUAAGCCUGUAUUACGGCAAUACAGCGAACCAAACGCUGUAUUCAGUGGGGCCACCGAUUCGGGGUGUAAUGGAUUAGCCAUUACACCCAACCAAAC